rnacentral:snoRNA from 1 species
UGGCGGUGAUGACAUUCUUAGGACACCUUUGGAUUAACAAUGAAAACAAUCAUCGACUGAGCCAU